GGAUCUGUAGGGUAGUGGAUAUCCUUCCGGGCUUCGAACCCGGAGAUCUGGGUUCGAUCCCCAGCAGGUCCG
rnacentral:tRNA from 2 species